AUUGAACGCUGGCGGCAUGCUUUACACAUGCAAGUCGAACGGUAACAGGCCGCAAGGUGCUGACGAGUGGCGAACGGGUGAGUAAUGCAUCGGAACGUGCCCAGUCGUGGGGGAUAACGCAGCGAAAGCUGUGCUAAUACCGCAUACGAUCUAUGGAUGAAAGCGGGGGACCGUAAGGCCUCGCGCGAUUGGAGCGGCCGAUGUCAGAUUAGGUAGUUGGUGGGGUAAAGGCUCACCAAGCCAACGAUCUGUAGCUGGUCUGAGAGGACGACCAGCCACACUGGGACUGAGACACGGCCCAGACUCCUACGGGAGGCAGCAGUGGGGAAUUUUGGACAAUGGGCGCAAGCCUGAUCCAGCAAUGCCGCGUGCAGGAAGAAGGCCUUCGGGUUGUAACUGCUUUUGUACGGAACGAAACGGCGAGCUCUAAUACAGUUUGCUAAUGACGGUACCGUAAGAAUAAGCACCGGCUAACUACGUGCCAGCAGCCGCCGCCG
rnacentral:rRNA from 1 species